rnacentral:lncRNA from 1 species
CAGCCUCGUCUUACAGCGUGACUGCAAAGAAAAAGACUUUUGUUUUGCAAAAGAAAAGCAGCUCGGUGACUCCGUCCACAUCGCCACAGUUGAGUCAGAUGGCAGUGGCAGUCCUUUGCCAGUGGAAGGAGUUCCUGCUAAGGGGAGGUGCAGGAGCCCCUGCCCCCGUCUCUGUUUUGGAAGUGGUCCAUCACAGUUCCUUCUCAAUUUGUUGGGCCUCGAAGGGAGAAUUCUUUCUCUGGCUUUGGAGUCUAAGAACAGGUUUCUGCAUACUGCAGAAGCGUGGCUGACUGACAGCCUCACUGAUUCCGGGGAAUGGCGAGCUGUCAUCUCAUCCGCAGAGACACAGACUACACCUUCAGGAACUGCAGCUUGGAGUGUACUCCUUCUACUUAUGAAAAAAAGUUAACUAUAAAAUGGCCUCAGGCAGGUCCUUCAGGAGGUUUCCAGAAGAAGGCAUCAUUGUCACAGGAGGUGGCAGCUCCAUGUGUGUUACUGGGACACGAUGUGGAAGUGGAAGAAGGUGACAUGGAUGAUCCUGCCCCUGUGACUAAUUUAUUAUUGUGCAACUGCCAGUCCUGCGCAUUCCAGCUACGCUAAGCGCCCUGCCCAGGCACGUAACAAAACAUAGACCUGUUUUGAAGUGGCUUGUUACCCAAGGGUGCCUCACUCAUCUGCGCCACCAGGAAGAUGAACUGUGAGGGCUCCUAUA